rnacentral:rRNA from 1 species
CAGCCGCCGCGGUAAUACGUAGGUGGCAAGCGUUGUCCGGAAUUAUUGGGCGUAAAGCGCGCGCAGGCGGUCCUUUAAGUCUGAUGUGAAAGCCCCCGGCUCAACCGGGGAGGGCCAUUGGAAACUGGGGGACUUGAGUGCAGGAGAGGGAAGUGGAAUUCCACGUGUAGCGGUGAAAUGCGUAGAGAUGUGGAGGAACACCAGUGGCGAAGGCGGCUUCCUGGCCUGUAACUGACGCUGAGGCGCGAAAGCGUGGGGAGCAAACAGGAUUAGAUACCCUGGUAGUCCACGCCGUAAACGAUGAGUGCUAAGUGUUAGGGGGUUUCCGCCCCUUAGUGCUGCAGCUAACGCAUUAAGCACUCCGCCUGGGGAGUACGGCCGCAAGGCUGAAACUUAAAGGAAUUGGCGGG